rnacentral:rRNA from 2 species
GCUGGCAUCUAGAGCGCUUGGGCCACACCCGUUCCCAUCCCGAACACGGUCGUUAAGCCAAGCAGCGCCGAUGGUACUCCGGUCGAGAGACCGCGGGAGAGUAGGCCGAUGCCGGCA